rnacentral:rRNA from 1 species
CCUACGGGCGGCAGCAGUGAGGAAUAUUGGUCAAUGCGCGCGAGCCUGAACCAGCCAAGUAGCGUGAAGGAUGACUGCCCUACGGGUUGUAAACUUCUUUUAUAAAGGAAUAAAGUGAGGCACGUGUGCCUUUUUGUAUGUACUUUAUGUGUAUGGAUCGGCUAACUCCGUGCCAGCAGCCGCGGUAAUACGGAGGAUCCGAGCGUUAUCCGGAGUUAUGGGGUUUAAAGGGAGCGUAGAUGGGUUGUUAAGUCAGUUGUGAAAGUUUGCGGCGCAACCGUAAAAUGGCAAUUGAUACUGGCAGCCUUGAGUACAGGUGAGGUAUGCAGAAUUCGUGGUGUAGCGGUGAAAUGCUUAGAUAUCACGAAGAACUCCGAUUGCGAAGGCAGCUUACUAAACUGCCACUGACAUUGAUGCUCGAAAGUGUGGGUAUCAAACAGGAUUAGAUACCCGAGUAGUC